rnacentral:rRNA from 1 species
AAGCUUGCUUCUGGGGGAGCAGUGGCGAACGGGUGAGUAACACGUGAGUAACCUGCCCCUGACUCUGGAAUAAGCGCUGGAAACGGCGUCUAAUACCGGAUAUGACACGGACGCGCAUGCGUAUCGUGUGGAAAGUUUUUCGGUCUGGGAUGGACUCGCGGCCUAUCAGCUUGUUGGUGAGGUAAUGGCUUACCAAGGCGAUGACGGGUAGCCGGCCUGAGAGGGCGAUCGGCCACACUGGGACUGAGACACGGCCCAGACUCCUACGGGAGGCAGCAGUGGGGAAUAUUGCACAAUGGGCGCAAGCCUGAUGCAGCGACGCCGCGUGAGGGAUGACGGCCUUCGGGUUGUAAACCUCUUUCAGCAGGGAAGAAGCGCAAGUGACGGUACCUGCAGAAGAAGCACCGGCUAACUACGUGCCAGCAGCCGCGGUAAUACGUAGGGUGCGAGCGUUGUCCGGAAUUAUUGGGCGUAAAGAGCUUGUAGGCGGUUUGUCGCGUCUGCUGUGAAAAUCCGGGGCUCAACCCCGGACUUGCAGUGGGUACGGGCAGACUAGAGUGUGGUAGGGGAGACUGGAAUUCCUGGUGUAGCGGUGAAAUGCGCAGAUAUCAGGAGGAACACCGAUGGCGAAGGCAGGUCUCUGGGCCACUACUGACGCUGAGAAGCGAAAGCAUGGGGAGCGAACAGGAUUAGAUACCCUGGUAGUCCAUGCCGUAAACGUUGGGAACUA